GAAAUGCGAUAAGUAUUGCGAAUUGCAGAAUUCAGUGAGUCAUCGAAUUUUUGAACGCACAUUGCGCCCUUUGGCAUUCCGAAGGGCAUGCCUGUUCGAGCGUCAUUAUCAACCAUCAAGCUAGCCUUGUCGUUGGAUCUCAUCGUUAAAAGAUGGAUCUGAAAGAUAAUGACGGUGUCAUGUCGACCCUAGAUGCAAUGAGCUUUUCAAGCACGCAUGAUAGCGGUAGGCUGGCCCAGUCUUUAACCAUAAUCCUCAAGGUUGACCUCGGAUCAGGUAGGAAUACCCGCUGAACUUAA
rnacentral:misc_RNA from 1 species